CCUUCGAUAGCUCAGUUGGUAGAGCGGAGGACUGUAGAGGCUUCAGCUGAAAUCCUUAGGUCGCUGGUUCGACUCCGGCUCGAAGGA
rnacentral:tRNA from 1 species